CCCAUUGAUAACAAAAGUAUAAAAAAUAAGAAAAAGAAGAGAACCCCAAGAAGGCUUUGUGUUUGCUUAGAUGAUGGGCUAGCAUUCUACAUUUUCAUUCUCAGUGGGGCAGAGAAGGGAGGCUACCAUGGGCAGAAGCAUGGAAAAGAAAUAGGAGAAGAAACAAAGGAUUUAUCCAGCAAGAGAGACAGGAGGAAGAAGGAAGUGGACAAAAGCUGCCCUGAGAUUCUCAUCCCACAGACCUAUCAGGUCCAUUUCCCCUAACCUCUCCUCCCCAGAUCAACAAUGCUCAUCUCUUCUGAUUCUCUUCUAAUUAUAUAUGUUCCCCUUUUUUGUUUAUCUUCUAGAAUCAGACUAGCACCUUUGCUCCAGGACAUAGGAUCCAUUUCCAAUGGCAAAAAGCUCUGACGCACUGAGAGUGUCAUUCAUAUACCAGGCAACCUAAAAUGGGGAAAGAGAGAAGAAUGCUCCUGGGAAGGUUGUAUUGGCUAGACCUGAGGAUGGCAUACAUGUGUACUCACAUUCUACAGGCUGUGGCUAAGUCAUGUGGCUGUGCCCAGUUACAAGGGUGGCUGAAAUGUGGUUGUACUAGUUUCCUAAGCUUGCCAUAACAAAGGAAGCAAACCGGGUGGCUUAAAAUAACAGAACUUUAUUCUCUCACAGUUAUGGAGGAUGGAAGUCUGAAAUCAAGGUGUUAGAGCCAUGCUCCUUCUGAGAGCUUUAGAGAAGCAUCCUUCCUUGCCUCUUUCCCGCUUCUAGUGGUUGCCGGCAAUUGGUCUUUCUUGGCGUGUAGCUGCAUAGUUCCUAUUUUGCCUCAGUCUUCAUAUGACUGCCUUCCCACGGUGCCCAAAUUUUCCUCUUUUUAUAAGGAUACCUGUCACUGGACUAAGGCUCACCCUAAUCUAUUAUGACCUCACUUUAACAUGAUUGCUUCUACAAAAGGCCCUAUUCCCAAGUCAGGCCACAUUCACAGGAACUGGAGGUUAGGACUUAAACGUAUCCUUUUUUUGGGGGGGGGGGGGGGAGAGGACAGUUCAACCCAUGACAGUGGUCUAGCUGUCUAGGAGGGAAAGACAAAAUUGUUUGAUGAAUCGCUGUCCAAUCUGUAUCUAGUUAGUUGUUGAGUUUCUCUAACACAAGUAAUAGGAAACAGGAAAGGUUUUGAGGGUUUUAGAGAACUAAGCCUUUAUUGGUAUCAAUGAUUCUCUAAAAAAAUAUAUUUUUUAACACCAGACAAUUUUGACAAAUAAACUUUUGGAAGAUAAUCUAUCUCUAAGGCAUAAUUGCUUAUACUACGGGGACAUUUACCCCCCCCCCCAAAUAAUGCCACAAUUUUUUUUUAAAGCAGUAUGUCUCAGAUUUCAUAAUACUCUUGAUUCUAAUGGCUUAAUAGAACAGAGUAGGCAUAUUAAAAUUAAUCUAAUCACCUCUAAAACUCCAUACCUAUAAAAUAUUCUUAGCAUAAAACUAAGAAAGGUUUCCUUUUUUCUCCUUGGGUCACUGUCAUCUGACUGUGGUUUCUGCUCUUGGCAUUUUCCAUCUUGGCUUUUGCCCAUCUUACUGCACUUUAUUAAGUGGCUGCUCUUCACUGAAGCUGGCCAUGAUUUAAUAAAAACAACAACAACAACAACAACAAUGAACAGUGUCUUUAGAAUCAGAAGAACAUUAGUUCUGCAGCUUAUCAACCUUGUUAUCCUGGGAAAGUCACCAAAACUGCUUUCUACCUCAGUUUUUUUUUUUUUCCCUUCCUGUACUAUGCUUGAUGUUGACCUUUUCCCAGUGUGGUUGUAAGAAUCCCAUAAAGUCACUAAAUAUUUGAGUAUCUGUCAUGUGCCAGUAUUGUUAUAAGUACUUGGGAUAUGUCAGUGAGCACAGAUCUCAAGCCUUCAUGGAUCUUCCAUUGUGGGGCUAAAAAUUAUGUAAAUUAUAAAAUGCUUUAAAAUGUAAGGUACUGUCAUGACUGCUAUUUUAUCUGCAGCAGCAACUCCAGUUUCUCAAAUAUCUUUAAAAAUUGUAUUGAAAUGCUACAGCAUAGCUCUCCCAGAUGUCAGAAGGUAUGCAAAAUCAUCAAAUAAAUGGAGACUUUACCCAUUAAAAGUUUAACCAUAAAUAUAAACUCAUGGUAAAUAUUUAAAAUGUUUCCUUAUUGCAUUUAAAAAUAAGCCUGGGGCCCCUAUUAUAUGUCACACAAUGCGUUAGGUUCCAUACGGGAUGAGAAGAUAAACACUAAUCCUGCCCUUCAGGAGCUUAGCUUCUGGUUGGACACAUGCCGGCUAAAGACUACUCUCUGAGGACAGAAGAGGAAUGCCCAGUAAGAAGGCACAGAGAAAUUGAUUGAAAGCUUCAAAGAGAAACCCAAAUGCUCACAACACUACAACCUAUUGUCAAUCUCUGCAUGUAUAAAUUGUACCUUCUAGGAGUUCCCAUUGUGGCUCAGUGGAAACGAAUGUGACUAGCAUCCAUGAGGAUGCAGGUUUGAUCCCUGGUCUCACUCAGUGGGUUAAGGAUCCAGUGUUGCUGUGAACUGUGGUGUAGGCCAGCGGUAUAGCUCCAAUUCAACCCCUAGCCUGGGAACCUCCAUAUGCCGUGGGUGUGACCCUAAAAAGAUAAAUAAAGAAAUAGAUAAGUAAAUAAAUAAAUAAAUUGUAUCUUCUAAUGCUAUAAUGACUAAACUACUGCUAGCACCUAUUUAUCUACUUGCUGAGAUUUUUAUUUUACAGUUUGAAUAUGGGUGCUUACCUCUGUGGUAUUCUGGUCUAGUGUGUGUGCAGUACAUUCACUCUGUAAAGAAAGUACAUUGUAUAAAAGUUUACUUUUCAGAAGCAGCAGCCAGGAGUUUGUAGCUCCACUGUCAACAUCGGAGACCUGCGUCCGAGUGUCUAAGCCAUGGGUUAUAUAUUUGGAUAUUGACAAAGAAGGCACUGUUAGGAGAGACUAUCCAAACCUAACCAGAAAUUGCUAAUUCAUAAAGUUGUCAAAUACGAAGUUCACCUGUUUGCGAUUUACUUUGCAGAAGUGACAUAAAAACAAUGAUUGGGCUCCUCCUCGGGCUAUCAAAACCAUUGACUGAAAAACAUUCUGGCAUCAAAUGAGAAUGAAGGUGUUAGUAACACAUCUGUCCUGGAGAUCCAGAUGCUGGCAAAGUUUUCCUUUUUCCGCUCUUUUUCUCUUUUGCCAUGUCAUUGGUUUGCUAAUGUAUUU
rnacentral:lncRNA from 1 species